rnacentral:tRNA from 1 species
GCCGAGGUGGUGGAAUUGGUAGACACGUUGGACUUAAAAUCCAACGGGCCCUGUGCCCGUGCCGGUUCGAGUCCGGCCCUCGGCAUCA